GGCCCCAUCGUCUAGUGGUUAGGACAUAGCCCUUUCACGGCUGUAACAGGGGUUCAAAUCCCCUUGGGGUCACUA
rnacentral:tRNA from 1 species